UUUAAGUGAGGUUUUCACAAGCAUUGAUUCCUAAAUCACAAUCAAUAAACCUAAAUCUCUAAAGUGAUUAUCAAUUGUUCAAUCAUUCUUAGGUCUAUAGAUAAUUUCCAUUCUCAUGACAAAUCAACUAUUGAGUUCAUCACACAAUUUCAUCAAAUUGUAUGAAGCAUUAAGUGCAAAGAAUAAAAGAUUAAAACUAGAUCAUAAUUCAAUCAUAUAGAAUCAAGUUCACAUGGUUCAAACAAAUACAAUGAAAUUCACCUAAAGAUCCAAUCUAAGAAUCUAGAAACUCAUAUUAAAGGUAGAAAUUACAUGGAGAAGAAGAGAUGAAAUCUUCAUGACAAGAGGUUUUGGAGUGUUUCCACCCUUUGUUCCUUGCUUGAAUCCACUCCAAUUGAGCUCCAAUCUUCAAUUUUGAUCCAAAAAUGCGUAACCCCUUUCCAAUGGGUGUUUUCCUCUUUAAAUAGUGC
rnacentral:lncRNA from 1 species